AUGUCGAGAGGAAGACAAAAUCAACGCUUGAAGAAACUGAUCAUCCUUCGAGGUUUGCCAGGAGUUGGAAAGACAAGCACGGCAGAAAUGCUCUGUGAUGAAUAUGCAAGACCUGAAGUGGAAAGAGGAAUUUUCUCCACUGACAGGUACCAUAAAAGGUCCAACUACAACAGGAAAUACUUUCAACGCAACCAUCAGCGGAAUAGAGAGGAUGGUGUGUAUUGGGUGGCUGGGGGCGAGGGCAGAAACAAUCUGCUCAUAAUGUCAUUACACACACAUAGUUUGUUGUUCUAUAAAGUACUGGUACUCUGGCUUGUUUUGACAGUUUUUAAAGCCUUGAACAGAGGAGUGGAUCCGAUCAUCGUUGACAACACAAACAUUUCUCUUUGGGAGAUGUGGCCCUAUAUCCACAUGGGGAUGCGACAGGGUGACUAUGACAUCACUAUGAUGGAGCUGCCUAAAGGCUAUCCUCAGCACAAAAUCUCCAUCAAUAAGCUGUACAGAUGGUGUCAUGGUAACAUCCCCAAGCGUACGUUCAGGUACUUUGAGGCUCACUGGGAAAAAGCUUACAACAUCAAGCAUGUACUUAACGACAGCUACUCCAUAAACCGCUGGGAGAGAAGCAAAGAAAAAUGGAAUGUCCAGUGAUGAAGACAUGCUGGCCUUCUCCCCCCCAAAGUCCACAAGUCCAGAACAAAUUCAUAAAAACCUACAGUAUUAUAUAGAGCCCUUAUUGCAUGGAACUUCCUUCCAUCUCAUAUUGCUCAAAUAAACAGCAAACCUGGUUUCAAAAAACAGGUAAAGCAACACCUCGCGGCACAACGCCUCGCCCCUAUUUGAUCUAGAUAGUGUGUGUAUGCAUUGAUAUGUAGGCUACGUGUGCCUUUUUAAAAAUGUAUGUAGUUCUGUCCUUGAGCUGUUCUUGUCUAAUGAUGUCCUGUAUUAUGUCAUUCUGUAUUAUGUUUCAUGUUUUGUGUUGACCCCAGGAAUAGUAGCUGCUGCUUUGCAACAGCUAAUGGGAAUCCUAUUAAAAUACCAAAUACCAAAAUUAUACUUGUCUUUCUUGCACUGACUCUAAGUCGCAUCUGCUAAAUGACCAAAAUGUUUACAUAGGCUGGUCCCAUCUGUUGCUGUCUCGCCAACUGCUAUUGUCAUCGGCGUGACCAUAGAACUAUAGGAGUUGGCAAGAGCACAAACUGAUCUGGGACCAGGCUACAGUAGCCUAUACAGUACUUAAAAACAUACAAAUAUUCAAAUAUAUUUUAAAAACUUCUAAGAAAUAGUUUCAAAAAGUGUUGACGGUAUUGAAAAACCAUCCCAUGGCUUUUUCCAAACACCCCGGUAUACGGUAUAUACAGAUACGUAUAUGUAACGGCUGUCGGGAGACAGAGUAGACCAAGGCGCAGUGGAGUUAGUGUUCAUCAUGAUUUGAAUGGACGAAAGAACACUAUACACAAAAACGAGAAAACUGACAACCAAACAGUAGUGUCAGGUGCAAUACGUAACAGAAACAAUUACCCACAAAACCCAACGAUAAAACAGGCACUUAUGUGUGACUCCCAAUCAGCAAUAACCAACAACAGCUGUGCCUGAUUGGAAGCCACACGGCCAAAAUCAAUGAAACAGACAACAUAGAAAAUGAACAUAGAAUGCCCACCCAAUGUAACACCCUGGCCUAACCAAAAUAAAGAACAAAAACCCCUCUCUAUGGCCAGGGCGUUACAGUAUAUUUUAAUAAUGCUGGCAACAUUAUACAGGACAGAAAAUUGGGUUGUGCUUUUCCAAACAACAACUCUGCAGAAUUACUCAUAUUAGUCUAAAGUGAGUCCCUCAGUUUCUGAUCUUUAACCCCCCCCCAUCCCUUUCUAUGGGGAAAGAAGCUGGAAACAUCUUCACAUUUCUUCCCCCAGUUUGAUCUUCUUCAUGAAUCCACACACUUUGUCUUUUGUUGCUGAGUAUUGUCCUUCAUGCAACCUUGUGAUUUCAAGGUUUAUAAAUUCUUCUCAAGUUUGUAAUUGCCACUUAAAUUAUUAUUAUUUUAUUUUUUAUUGACCCUUUAUUUAACUAGGAAAGUCAGUUAAGAAAAAAUUCUUAUUUACAAUGACGCCCUACCAAAAGGCAAAGGGCCUCCUGCGGGGACG
rnacentral:lncRNA from 8 species